UCCGGUUGAUCCUGCCGGAGGAUGCUGCUAUCUGGCUCGGACUAAGCCAUGCAAGUUCCUAUUAUCAAGAAUUUUCUUGAUAAUAGUGCAAACUGCUGAGUAACACGUAGCUAAUCUAACCUUCACUUAGGGAUAAUCUCGGGAAACUGAGGGUAAACCCUAAUAAGAAAUAGGUGCUGGAAUGCUCUAUUUCUGAAAUAUGGUGAAGGGUGAGGCUGCGGCUGAUUAGGUAGUUGGUGGUGUAAAAGACCACCAAGCCUAUGAUCAGUAGGAGCCCUGAGAGGGGGUGCUCCCAGAUGGACCCUGAGACACAGGUCCAAGCCCUACGGGGUGCAGCAGGCGCGAAACUUCUGCAAUGCCCGCAAGGGUGACAGAGCGAGCCAGAGUGCAUUCUCUUUUGAGAAUGCUUUUGUUAACUGUAAAUAGGUUAACGAAUAAGGAGAGGGCAAGACCGGUGCCAGCCGCCGCGGUAAUCCCGGCUCUCCAAGUGGCAUCCACAUUUAUUUGGCCUAAAACAUCCGUAGCCAGCCUAGUAAUUCUUUUGUAAAAUAGUAAGGCUCAACCUUACUGCUAGCAAAAGAUAAUGCUAGGCUAGGGGUGGGGAGAUGUGGUAAGUAUAGCCAAGGUAGCGGUAAAAUGUGUUAAUCUUGGCUAGACUCACGAUGGCGAAGGCAUACCACAAGAACCAACCCGACGGUGAGGGAUGAAGGCUGGGGGCGCAAACGGGGUUAGAUACCCCGGUAGUCCCAGCUGUAAACUCUGCCCACUAGGUAUUGUGUCCUCUUCGGGAGGAUGCAGUGCCGAAGCGAAGGCUUUAAGUGGGCUGCCUGGGGAGUACGGUCGCAAGACUGAAACUUAAAGGAAUUGGCGGGGGGGCACCACAACGGGUGACGCGUGCGGUUUAAUUAGACGCCACACCGUGAACCUCACCAGGACCGACAGCAAAAUGAAGGUCAGUCUAAAGGGCUUACCUAAUGCGCUGAGAGGAGGUGCAUGGCC
rnacentral:rRNA from 1 species